rnacentral:lncRNA from 1 species
CUUUAAUCCACUGAGCCACCCAGGCUCCCAGAAAAAAAAAAAAAAAAUUUUUUUUUUAAUUAAAAAAUUGGG